rnacentral:rRNA from 1 species
GACGAACGCUGGCGGCGUGCUUAACACAUGCAAGUCGAGCGGUAAGGCCCUUUCGGGGGUACACGAGCGGCGAACGGGUGAGUAACACGUGGGUGACCUGCCCUCAGCUCUGGGAUAAGCCUGGGAAACUGGGUCUAAUACUGGAUAUGACUCCACGGUGCAUGUCGUGGGGUGGAAAGCCUUGUGCGGCUGAGGAUGGGCCCGCGGCCUAUCAGCUUGUUGGUGGGGNGAUGGCCUACCAGGGCGACGACGGGUAGCCGGCCUGAGAGGGCGACCGGCCACACUGGGACUGAGACACGGCCCAGACUCCUACGGGAGGCAGCAGUGGGGAAUCUUGCGCAAUGGGCGAAAGCCUGACGCAGCGACGCCGCGUGAGGGAUGACGGCCUC